GACGUAGGGCGCGAGCGUUGUCCGGAUUUAUUGGGCGUAAAGAGCUCGUAGGCGGCUUGUCGCGUCGACUGUGAAAUCCCGCGGCUCAACUGCGGGUCUGCAGUCGAUACGGGCAGGCUAGAGUUCGGUAGGGGAGACUGGAAUUCCUGGUGUAGCGGUGAAAUGCGCAGAUAUCAGGAGGAACACCGAUGGCGAAGCAGCUGCCUGGCCUAGAACUGACGCUGAGGUGCGAAAGACGUGGGGAGCGAACAGG
rnacentral:rRNA from 1 species